rnacentral:rRNA from 1 species
AAUGACAUACCACCCUGGCCCGCUCUCUUCCGAUCUUGGACGCUAAGCGGGGUGGGGCCUGGUUAGUACUUGGAUGGGAUACCGCCUGGGAAUACCAGGUGCUGUAACUU